AGCAGAGAAGCUGACGGCAGGAUACGCUGAAGUUUCGGUUUUACUGUCUCCCGUUGAGGAUGCCGUACGCUUAUUUUUAAUUUUUAGUAAUGUUUGUGUUUUUUGUUAUUAUUUUUAUUUUUAAUUUAAAUUGUCCUCCUACUAUAUUACGUUUAUGUAUUGUAGUAUUUUCUGGCUGUAGGCCAAACAAAAUGUUUAUAGCGUUUUAUUAUGUUUGUAUUAUACAUAAUGUAUUCCCUGUGUGUGAGACACGUAGCGAGGGUGUGUUUUGCUGGUGGGAGGUGUGGAGGGGGGCGCCUCCAG
rnacentral:lncRNA from 1 species